CCUACGGGUGGCAGCAGUAGGGAAUCUUCCACAAUGGGCGAAAGCCUGAUGGAGCAACGCCGCGUGGGUGAAGAAGGUCUUCGGAUCGUAAAACCCUGUUGUUAGAGAAGAAAGUGCGUGAGAGUAACUGUUCACGUUUCGACGGUAUCUAACCAGAAAGCGACGGCUAACUACGUGCCAGCAGCCGCGGUAAUACGUAGGUGGCAAGCGUUAUCCGGAGUUAUUGGGCGUAAAGGGAACGCAGGCGGUCUUUUAAGUCUGAGGUGAAAGCCUUCGGCUUAACCGGAGUAGGGCAUUGGAAACUGGGAGACUUGAGUGCAGAAGAGGAGAGUGGAACUCCAUGUGUAGCGGUGAAAUGCGUAGAUAUAUGGAAGAACACCAGUGGCGAAAGCGGCUUUCUGGUCUGUAACUGACGCUGAGGUUCGAAAGCGUGGGUAGCAAACAGGAUUAGAUACCCUUGUAGUC
rnacentral:rRNA from 1 species